rnacentral:rRNA from 1 species
GUGGGGAAUUUUGGACAAUGGGGGCAACCCUGAUCCAGCCAUGCCGCGUGAGUGAAGAAGGCCUUCGGGUUGUAAAGCUCUUUUGGUCGGGAAGAAAGGUUCCUUUUGAAUACGGGGGGACUGUGACGGUACCGGCAGAAUAAGCACCGGCUAACUACGUGCCAGCAGCCGCGGUAAUACGUAGGGUGCGAGCGUUAAUCGGAAUUACUGGGCGUAAAGAGUGCGUAGGCGGUUCGUUAUGUCUGUGGUGAAAGCCCUGGGCUCAACCUAGGAAUGGCCAUGGAAACUGGCGGGCUGGAGUAUGGCAGAGGGGGGUGGAAUUCCGCGUGUAGCAGUGAAAUGCGUAGAGAUGCGGAGGAACACCGAUGGCGAAGGCAGCCCCCUGGGCUAAUACUGACGCUGAGGCACGAAAGCGUGGGGAGCAAACAGGAUUAGAAACCCUAGUAGUCC